GACGAACGCUGGCGGCGUGCUUAACACAUGCAAGUCGAACGGAAAGGCCCUGCUUUUGUGGGGUGCUCGAGUGGCGAACGGGUGAGUAACACGUGAGUAACCUGCCCUUGCCUUUGGGAUCACUUCAGGAAACUGGGGCUAAUACCGGAUAGGAGCUCCUGCUGCAUGGUGGGGGUUGGAAAGUUUCGGCGGUUGGGGAUGGACUCGCGGCUUAUCAGCUUGUUGGUGGGGUAGUGGCUUACCAAGGCUUUGACGGGUAGCCGGCCUGAGAGGGUGACCGGCCACAUUGGGACUGAGAUACGGCCCAGACUCCUACGGGAGGCAGCAGUGGGGAAUAUUGCACAAUGGGCGGAAGCCUGAUGCAGCAACGCCGCGUGCGGGAUGACGGCCUUCGGGUUGUAAACCGCUUUCGCCUGUGACGAAGCGUGAGUGACGGUAAUGGGUAAAGAAGCACCGGCUAACUACGUG
rnacentral:rRNA from 1 species